rnacentral:tRNA from 1 species
GAGCUGGAAGCUCAGUUGGUUAGAGCAAAGGACUGAAAAUCCUUCGUGAUUCCACAAAAUGAAAAGUAGUUUAAGAUCUUGUUCA